UUUUCGCUAAUAGAAGAGCCUAUGUAGGAUUAGGUAGUUGGUAUUUUGGGUAAAAGCCUACCAAGCCUAAGAUCCUUAGCUGUUCUGAGAGGUUGAACAGCCACACUGGGACUGAGACAAGGCCCAGGCUCCAUUUGGAGCCAGCAGUGAGGAAUUUUGGACAAUGAGCGAAAGCUUGAUCCAGCAAUACUACAUGAGUGAAGAAGGCUUUCAAGUUGUAACACUCUUUGGUUGAGGAGGAUAAUGACAGUACUCAACAAAAUAGCCCCGGCUAACUUCGUGCCAGCAGCCGCGGUAAGACGAAGGGGGCGAGCGUUAUCCGGAAUGACUGGGCGUAAAGGGUCCGUAGGCAGCAUUUUUUGUUGGAAGUUAAAUAAAAAAGCUUAACUUUUUUCCGCUUCUAAAACGUAAAUGCUUUGAGUUUGAUAGAAGAUAGCAGAAUUUCACAAGGAGGGGUGAUAUCCAGAGAUCUGUGAAGGAAUAUCAGAUGCGAAGGCGGCUAUUUAGAUCAACACUGACGUUGAGGGACGAAAGCAUGGGGAGCAAACAGGAUUAGAUACCCUGGUAGUCCAUGCCCUAAAAGAUGAGUGUUCGUGCUUAGAGAACUUUAGGCACUUAGUUAACACGUUAAACACUCCGCCUGGGGAGUACGAUCGCAAGGUUGGAACUCAAAGGAAUUGACGGGGGCCUAUACAAGUGGUGGAGCAUGUGGUUUAAUGCGAUAAUACGCGCGAAACCUUACCAGUUCUUGACAUAAAAAAGAAAAAGUUUGAAAAAGCAAUUUUAAAGAUUUUUACAGGUGCUGCAUGGCUGUCGUAAGCUCGUGUCGUGAGAUGUUAGGUUAACUCCUUUUAACGGGCGAAACCCCUUUUUUUCGUUGCUACUUAAUUUUAUUUUUAAAGCACUCUAAAAAAACUGCUCCCUUUUUUUAAUUCGGAGAGGAAGGUGGGGAUGACGUCAAGUCCUUAUGGCCCUUAUGAACUGGGCUACACACGUGCUACAAUGGUAAAGACAAUAAGAAGUGAUAGGGUAACCUAAAACCAAUCUUUAAACUUUAUCAAAGUUCGGAUUGUGGACUGCAACUCGUCCAUAUGAAGGUGGAAUCACUAGUAAUCGCACAUCAGCAUGUUGCGGUGAAUUUGUACCUAGGCCUUGUACACACCGCCCGUCACGUGCCGGGAGUUG
rnacentral:rRNA from 1 species